AUUGAACGCUGGCGGCAGGCCUAACACAUGCAAGUCGAGCGGAUGACGGGAGCUUGCUCCUUGAUUCAGCGGCGGACGGGUGAGUAAUGCCUAGGAACCUGCCUGGUAGUGGGGGACAACGUUUCGAAAGGAACGCUAAUACCGCAUACGUCCUACGGGAGAAAGUGGGGGAUCUUCGGACCUCACGCUAUCAGAUGAGCCUAGGUCGGAUUAGCUAGUUGGUGAGGUAAAGGCUCACCAAGGCGACGAUCCGUAACUGGUCUGAGAGGAUGAUCAGUCACACUGGAACUGAGACACGGUCCAGACUCCUACGGGAGGUAGCAGUGGGGAAUAUUGGACAAUGGGCGAAAGCCUGAUCCAGCCAUGCCGCGUGUGUGAAGAAGGUCUUCGGAUUGUAAAGCACUUUAAGUUGGGAGGAAGGGCAGUAAGUUAAUACCUUGCUGUUUUGACGUUACCAACAGAAUAAGCACCGGCUAACUUCGUGCCAGCAGCCGCCGUAAUAC
rnacentral:rRNA from 1 species